rnacentral:rRNA from 1 species
UACAGAGGUCUCAAGCGUUGUUCGGAUUCAUUGGGCGUAAAGGGUGCGUAGGUGGCGCUGUAAGUCAGGUGUGAAAUUUCGGAGCUUAACUCCGAAACUGCAUUUGAUACUGCGGUGCUUGAGGACUGGAGAGGAGACUGGAAUUUACGGUGUAGCAGUGAAAUGCGUAGAGAUCGUAAGGAAGACCAGUGGCGAAGGCGAGUUUCUGGACAGUUACUGACGCUGAGGCACGAAGGCCAGGGGAGCAAACGGG